rnacentral:lncRNA from 1 species
AUAAAAUAACGGGUGCUUAUAAAAAAAAAAAAAAAAGGAUAGUCGGUUCGAAGUGGGUCGAUGGCAUAAAUACCAUACCCAUCCCAUCCGAACUGUGUCAUUAAAAUAAAAUACCAUAUCUGACCCAUUGUACCAUCGGUUCGAUUUUUUUCGCCCCAUUCGUUCAGUUAACUGCGAUUUUCGAUUUUGAUAGUUUGAAUUGCCAUCCCUAGAAAUAGAUGAAAGAAGCUUCAAACCAAUACAUUACAUACGAACACAGACAAACAAACAGACAAUAAAAAACUACAUAGGAAGGAUUAAUGUUUAUAGAACUCUAUUAUGCGUGACGUAAAACAUUUGUUUCCUAAACUUGGAUUCAUCAAUGUCAAUCCCUUCCUUGGCCACGUGUUUGCCACCGGGCUGGUCAGUGGUGCUCAAGCCGCAUUUCCGGCCCAUCUCUUAGUACCCUUCUCUUCCAAUCUGCUCCUUCUGUUGAAAAUUUACUUAUCAUGCACAGGGAAAAUAAAACAGAUUUCAAUUCCCACUAAAAAAUCACUUUGUGUUUAAAUAAAAAUUGUGAUAAAAGUUAUACAUUUUUAUAGGUCUACAAACUCAUAUGCUUUUAAUUGUUCCAGCAAUCUUGAUCUGUCAACCACCGCUGUCCAGUUGUCCAGGCUUUAAUGGAAUUCCACACAGAGAACAAGAUUAUCGAAACUUGUGUUUUUCUCUUCUUGUGCUAGCAAGAAUGAAAAGUCUCUAUAAAUUGAAAACCCUAGUCACUUAUUUAUAUAAGCUCAAACGGGCUUGGCCUGACCCGAUCUAAUAUUUAAUUAACUCAUUUAUUUAAAUUCGGUCCGUAAAUUAAUUAACCCAAUUAAUUAAUUUGGGCUUAUGAAUAAGCGACCCAAUUAAUUAAUUUAUCCAAUACUUGUUAAAUUAAUUAAUUGACAAAUCACAAUAUUCCAGUUCUCAUUUUGUCUGCGACCCAUUAGGUUCCCGAUCACGAUGCCUAACGAUGUAAAUUGUUAUUUUGAUAUAAUCAAAAUCGAUAAAUUAAAAUAUCCUUUUAAUUUAUCACCAACUCAUGUUCGUCGUCCCAGAUUGACAUUUAGCAAUGUGUCAGGACAAUACAUGUGACGAAAAUGUGACAUGGCAUGAUAAAAUCAAACUUGUUUGUUUACCGUGAAAUUAUAAUCCACUUCGUCAAUAUGGUCCUAUCAAUUAUGAGAUAUGAAAGUGUGUCAAUUUCGAUUAUCGAUCAUAUCUUUCAUUCCACGAUUAAGUCAAUAUAAGUCGAAAACUCAUUUUCGACUUCUGAUUAUACAUUGGCCAAGGAUUUCGUUAUCGACUUAAUUGAAUGAAUUGUGGAUCAUAAUCUCUUACUAUUUAAGAGUGACAAAUCUUCUAUUGGUCGUUCACAACCUUCAUACGAUUCUUGACAUACUCAAACGAUGUAGUAUUAGCGGCCCUUGGCAGAGCAACAUCCAACACCAUCAAAGUAUGACUGUCCUCAUAUAAGGCACCAUGACGACCUCAAGUCAAAGGACUAAUUCCACUACAGAACGUUAGAGAUUAAUCAUUGACACUCAAAUAGUUAUCCAUGUAGAAUCUCUCAGCAGGUAUCCAAUAUUUUGUUUUAUAACAAAACAUCUACGUGUUCAUUUAAGUGUCACCACAUUUUAGUCUAUGAGAUCAGCUACUUACUUCAUAUGUAAGAAAUGCCACACAUAGUGGUCUAUCCAUAAUAACAAUAUCCGUAUCUUAUUAUUACUUACGGCCAUUGAUUAUUCAAGAUCCAAUCAUACAUAACUUUUAUCUCACAAUCACAACUACUUGUGAUUAACAAAUUACUGAAAUUUGAAUCUACGAACUCUAUUAUUUAAUAUUAUUUGUCAUAAUAUUGAUUUAAAUAAAUAACAGAUAUUGCCAAAAAUAAAUGUAUUAAACAUAUUAAAAGUGUUUACAAUCUAAAUUGAUUGAAUUUAGGACAUAACACUUACACAUUCCUAGUCUGUUCUCCUCGGCUUCCCAUUUCUUGGUACCCUUCUGUCCCCAGUUGUUCCCGACGAGUCUGCCCUCCUCGACUUGUCCCUGCAUUAACAAUACCAAUAUCAUUCAUCUAUGACAGAAAACUCCAUUGAGCAUAAAAAGAAAAGAUAAUACCUUCAGCUAGGUGCUCCUGGGCUUCAAGGCUCUUGCCGCCAGUUUUGUCCGGAACCACUGUCUCUCCUUGCCUUGCCUUUGCGUUAAGCUCAGCUCGCUCCUGCUCCGAUGCCAUUUUUCUCUCCCUUUCUUUGCUGGCUAUCAAGCUGUUACUAAUUUA